GACGAACGCUGGCGGCGUGCUUAACACAUGCAAGUCGAACGGGCCCGCCCCUGUUUUUGGGGGUGGGUUGAGUGGCGAACGGGUGAGUAUCACGUGAGUAACCUGCCCCCUGCUCCUGGAUAACUGCUUGAAAGGGCGGCUAAUACGGGGUGUGCCGGCUGGUCCGCAUGGGCCUGGUCGGGAUAGUUUCAUCUUCGGGUGUUUCGGUGGGGGAUGGGCUCGCGGCCUAUCAGCUUGUUGGGGGGGGGAUGGCCCACCAAGGCGGUGACGGGUAGCCGGCCUGAGAGGGUGGGCGGCCACACUGGGACGGAGACACGGCCCAGACUCCUGCGGGAGGCAGCAGUGGGGGGUAUUGCACAAUGGGCGGAAGCCUGAUGCAGCGACGUCGCGUGAGGGAUGGAGGCCUUCGGGUUGUGAACCUCUUUCUCCGGUGGUGAAGGCCCUGUCCGGUGCGGCGGGGUUGACGGUAGCCGGGUAUGAAGCGCCGGCUAACUACGUG
rnacentral:rRNA from 1 species